rnacentral:tRNA from 3 species
GGCGUAGCUCAGUCGGUUAGAGCAUCAGAUUGUGGUCCUGAGGGUCGUGGGUUCGAUUCCCAUCGC